ACGGAUAUGAUGAAAUUGGUAGACAUGUUAGAUUUAGGUUCUAAUGAUAAGUUAGAUCGUGAGGGUUCAAAUCCCUCUAUCCGUA
rnacentral:tRNA from 3 species